UGAAUUGCAGAAUCCCGUGAACCAUCGAGUCUUUGAACGCAAGUUGCGCCUGAAGCCAUUAGGCUAAGGGCACGUCUGCCUGGGCGUCACGCAUCGCGUCACCCCUCCCCCAAUCUUGGUGGGCGGGGUG
rnacentral:rRNA from 1 species